rnacentral:tRNA from 1 species
AGGUGGAUUACUUUAAAUGUAGAAGGUUAAGUUUGCAACUUAGAUAGUGUGGUUUUCAUGUCCACUUG